CGCUUUGACCACCGUUUACCGAUCUAGAAAAAUCUUUCCCCCACCAGACCCUCCUCUGCCUUCUCUUCCUUCACCACACGUCCCGCCCCACCUUACGGCCCCACAUCACCGCUCGACACCGCUUGCUGCCGCAGCGGAGGGGAUGCAUCUCGUGGCGCAGCGAUGUCCACCGGCGCGGCUCAUCUUCAUGGCCGUCGCGAGGCUGGUGGCCGCUCGAUUCACUCUCGCAGCCUCCCGCGCCCGUGCCUCGCCGGCGCGGCUCGCCUUCGCCCCGUCCCGACGGCAGGGCCGACGCCGCGGAGGUGGACGAGACGAAAGAGCCGACGGUGGCGGCGGGGAAGGCGUGACGGAGGGGAAGGCGAGCUGUUGCGCCGCAAGAGGCUCCUCCAGGCCGCCGCCGACAAGCGCGACGAGGCCCGUAGCAGGGAGGGCUGCGCCAGGCAGCCGUCGAAUCGGCCGCCUUGCCGCCAGCGACCAUGGGCCGUGAGGAAGUGUCGCGUCACGGGGAGGACUCCGCCACGCCGCCGUCGAUGAGCUCGAGGAGAUGGCGCGGCGCGGGAGGGCUGCACAAGGCCACGCCGCCGUCGACUCCACCACGCUGUGAAGAGCAGCGGUAUUUUUUUCGCGUGCGCCGAGGCGGGCGGCAAGAUCUAUGUCAUCAGCGGCCGCAACAUGCUGAAGAAUGCGCUCAAGACGGUGGAGGCGUCCGACGCGGUGGCCUCCUCCCUCUUGCCCCUCUCGGAUCCGCAGCGAGCAGGUAAGUGCAGCCCGUGCGACCUCGCCUCCCAAACGCACGGCUCGCCGCUCUACCUCGCUCCAGUGGCCGUCCUUGUUUUCUUUCAGAUUCCAGUUCCGGAGAUGCAACAUCUCCCGUCACCGCUCCCUCUUCAUCGUUGGAUAAUGCCCUGACUGAGUUCAGAUGAAUCAAUUUGUAGCGUGGAGACUACUUUGCUUCUUUCUUCACGGUAUACAUAUGCCUAUUGUGUUCUCUUAAUUUAACUUUUCUCAUAUUCUUUGCAGUUCCUGUUUUUGUCCGUGACCUGGAUUCGUUUUCCCGUUUCAAUCGAGCGUCCAUCGAUGCCUGCUUAGGCCAGGAAAGAAAAGACGCAUGUUUCGUUGGUUGAGGAUGUGCCAUCCUAAGCUAUUUGGCUAUUGGUCUUUUAACUGUGAUUCAAAGAUUCAUGUACAUCUCAAGAUAAAAUAUGAAGCUAUAACUCUUAUGCAUGCUCAGGUUUGGUGUAAGUGCUUACCUAAGUCACUAUCUUCUUUUACCAUGUGACAAUAUUUUGUACAUCCAGUGUCAAUGCUAAGGGAAAUAGACUUAAGUUGAUUUAACCCGGUUAAUGAUAAAUAAAAAAUUGUUUCUUCGAUGUAAAUGUAGGACCGAGAACACUCAUUUUUUUCAAUCAGAUUGCGCAACUGAGGACCUUAGAAAUUUAUUAGGAGGCUUUCCUUUGAGGAGUAUCUGUUUGUUUUAUUACAUCUGCACCGAUUUGUUGGUCUGAUGGUCAGCUUAAACUAACUAAAAGAGUUAGGAGUAAUUUAGUUGGCAGGGAAAAUAUUAAGUUUUCUGUUAAGUUGAAAAGAUUGCAAACAUGCUGUUCUACGUAUUGAUCUGUGGUUCUUGAUUUCCCACUAAGAACAGACUUUCAUUUUUUUAUUACGUAUUGGAAAACAUACCGAGAAGUUCCUUCUAGGAUAUUUCCUCCCAAACAUAAACCAAUCAGUACCUAAGGUUGCACACAGAGCUAAACCUAGCAGUAGCUAAGGUUUCACAUAGAGCUAAACUUAGUACUACCUAAGAUUUCCCAUAGAGCUAAGGAAUUACGAAACCCAACAAAAAACACAAUCAAGAGAACUCUCUUUUUUGUUCUGUUGUUACCAUUUUUGAAGCUUGGAGCCAGUAUUUAUGAUUUAUCACAUUUACUUUCAACAGUGGUCUGUAAUAUUUUCCUGAAGUUCAGCAUUUGGUUCAAAAUAACCGAUUCACAUGCAGAAUCUGAUUUAAAGAGUAGAAUUUUGCAACUUCUUUUAAGUAAUGCUAUGUAUGAAUGUCAGGUUCAACUUCUCAACGAGUUAACAUCUUGGAAGAAAAUUAUGAAGAAUCAAAAAAAGAGCUAGCGCAUGUACAUGUGAUUCUUUAAAUUGAUUCCUUUGAGCUGUUAGUUGCUUGAUCAUGUCGUCGUGAUUUUUCCUCAGGUUUCAGCAGCUCGGUCAUCUUUUGACAAAGAGAUCGCGCAAGGAAAAGAGAAGCAAACUCACCACAAUUCCAGUAAACAUGCAGGAUUGAAGGAUGAGAUAAAGAGAAGAAAAAACCUGUCGGUUUCUCUUCCUCACUCCACACAACGGGUGGACCUGCGGCCAUGGAGUCUGGAUGUCGCUGCGGCUCCAUUGACCCUGUGGUCGACUUCGCCGAACAGCCACAGUACGAACAUGGUCGUGGCUACCGUCCCCAAGAUUGUGCAUCCAGCCCCAGUUACGGUUCCCCAGGAUGGCGCAUCCAGCUCCAGUUCCGGAGCUUCACUGCUGCCGGCAGGUUGUUCAUCUUCUUAUUUGGUAAAUAGUUCUUCAGUUGUGUGAACGUUCCUCAGUUUCGGCUCCAAGAAAAGGAGAAGGUAUGUAUACAAUUUCUAUGCUGUGCUCUUACUCAUUACAUGUACCAUUCCCUUUUUCUCUUUCAAUCAGCUACCCUAUUUUACAGAUCCUUUCAUUUGGGUUAGAAAAUAAUAAUGUAGUGUCAGAUUCAGACUAUUGAGUAAGCAGUAGUAAGUUGAAUAGAUAUGGCAUCUGGCACUGGUGGUGGUAGCAUAGAAGAGCGAGCGACGCAGCUCCUUUUUUUCUGGCUUUCUCAUUGUCUAAAAAAAGGUUUGGGUUGUUUUUUAGAUACAGAGAAAAUACCACAGUUUUAGGAAUACUGCAGUAUUAAUAAUGUAGUUUUAGUUGACAGGCAAAAAGUUCACAAUGUUUCAUGCUUCAGUUUUUUUAAAACUGUAUUAUUCUCAGAAUGCAUUAAAAAUGCAGAGUUGCCAAACGGGGCCUAAGUUUGUAGACAGACUGGUUUGCUUCUCUUGAUUUUGAAAUUUGUACAAUCAGUUUUUUAAGUUUGUAGGUGGACCUGGUUUGCUUAUCUUCCUUCUGAAAUCUGUGAAAUCAGAUCUGAGUCAAUCCAAUGUAUUGCAACAAACCAGUCAGAGCUCUUUUUCGUAGCACGUGCUUCGCAAUAGGACUGUUCAGAUAAUGUCAUAGUAAUGCGCCUGAUGCAAUAGUUUAAAUUCUUUGUAGCUCAUUUAUGUUUUACUUAUGACCAAGUAAUAUUCCGGUGUAGAUUUUCCUGCCAGAAAAAUUCUUUCCCUAUAAAGGGGUAGGAAAACAGUUUCCUUUGCCACACACAAUAAUCAUUUCCUGCAACUGAAUGUAUUAAAAUGCUUCCCAGAAGUACUGUUGUUAAUUGGACUAUAUAUUUGAAUAACUUCUACUCAAAUGAUUUUCGUUUUCAGUACCAGCAGAGCACUUCCACGUAAGUUCAGAGUUCCUCCAUGUUUUUAUUUCGUUCGUCGCCAACAGGUAGCCACGUGUUGUGUUUUUCUCAAGUUCGUGUUGAACUACUUACUUUUCUUGCUGUCUGUACAAAUAUCAGACUGAAGAUUUGUAGAAUUCCAAUAGAUCACCGUUAUAUGUUGCAAACUGAUCUUAUGUUUUUCUUUUUCUUUUUGAAUGGUCAGUUUUCAAUUCCAUGUCUUGCAGUCCGUAAGAGGAUUUAGACUUACCAGAACUGCAAGAACUGCAACAGCGAGCGUAAAUGCCAAAAGUUCCCUGAUUGCUUUAACUACAUCCUCUAGAACAAUAUGGGAAAAUGUCGAAUGUAUGAAUACCCAUGUUAUGACAUGGCGAGCUUUCACAUUGCAAAAGCCUUGAUGUUUAGGGAAACGGUAAUGGAUUAGUUGAUAUUCUGUCGUCUAUGGGACUACAAACUGUCAAUUUGAGCUUACUACUUGAUUAUUUUGAUUCUUCUGUGGGAGAAACAAAAACAAUAUUUUUUGCAAAUUAGUAUUAUUUUUAAUGGCCUGCUAGCCUCCUUCAUUGUAACUUGAUUUCGAUGUGAUAAUUUCGGGGGAAAAAAACUGUUGGUCAUAUGUUGUUCCUUUCCUGCGCUUCUGCAGGUUUUUGGCGCUUGGCGGCGGUGAGGCGUGCCCCUUCUGUCUGCUUGAUUCUAUUUUCUUUUAUUUCUGGACUGAUUUGGUGUGGAUUUUUUACUUCUCUUUUGUGGCAGAUGGACGGGAUGUCAAUGAUGGGAGACGAGAUUGACUACAUGAAGGAGCCACUGCAGCGGAAGAUGCAGGAGCAGCCACACGAUGCUGACACGGUGGUGGCGUUGUUGAGCCUCUUCCUGGAAUCAAACCUGAACGAGAAUUGGCCGUGAUCAUGCGUUCUAUAUGAAUGAUGAUGUUCUUCCUAUAUGAAUGAUGCUGUCCUCUUUCAAAUACAGUGUUCUAGCCUAAACACAUCAGUUUGGUUCAAUAAUGUAUUGUCAACUACUGAA